ensembl:lncRNA
GUGAAGUCCAGCAGCCUGACUCCCCUUUGAUUUGUGAUUUUGUGCAUUUCAAUUUCAGCCGAUUGGCUUAGGCUGUAUAUUCUUGGCUCCGUUUCCGAGCAGGAGCCUCCAGGGAGCCCUCGCUGUAAGCCGGCCAUAACGAGGUGCCUGCCGUUAGCCCAGUCGAUAGCACAGAGCUUCUCCUGCUCUCCUCCAUCCCUCCACCCUGUCCCCAAAUAGUUCUGCACGGCAAAUGAAAACACACACUGGGAUGGCCCUGGGAGCACAGCAGUGGUGCCCCAGGGCAAGGAAUCACCGCAGACCCUUGGGGCUCACUGUGGAGGAGGAGAAGCCAGAAAACAGCACCAGAGCCAAUGAUUUGUGAAAGAGGUGGAUCUUAAAGGCUAUAACUUUAAAGGAGUCUCUCUUAAACCUGGCAAAAAGCCACCCCAGCCACAUCAUUAACUGAAAGACAAUCAUGCUCUGCCUUGCCUUAUAAAAGUACAGAUAGGGAUCGAGAUGCUGCAGUGUUUUUGUGAAGGUAAGAUCUUGUACUAAUAGGAAAGACUUCGGUGGGGUUUGUAUCGGGCCCAUCAGAUCCUUCUUGAAUGACAUCACCACAUGUUAAUGAGAGUUGGUGUCUCUUCCAUAAUGUAGUUUCAGGGAGAUGUAUGAGAUGUUAUUUUCUCAAUCAGAGAAUUGUCUUUGCAUUGUCAUUGCCUGCCUGUUACAAUACAUUAGAGCAUGCUCCCCAAAUUCCUGCAGCAGGAAAUUAAUUGGGAACGUAGUGUUGAGAUGUGGCUUCAAAGCUGAGACACCCUGAAGUCUCAGGAUUGCCUGAUCCUGGAUCUUGGAGCCUGCGCAGAUGAACAAAGAUUCUUUCAGCAGGGAAAGCAGCCAUUUGGUGUUCUGGAAUAUGGUGGACCCAUCCCUGAAGAGGCAUCUCAGAGCUAGAUCACCUCCGUGCCAUGCCACUGGGUGAAAUGAGUAAGGAUGGAGCUCUCACGCACAGCUGAUCAGUGUAGGGUCAAUCUUUCCAGAUCUGGAGGGCUGCACUAAAUCUGCCCAACAUGCCCAGCAAACCCUUACACUUUCUGAGUCUUCUAGCAUGGGAAGGAUCUUGCUAGUCAUUCACAGUACAAGACAAUAACUGUUUAACCUUAUGCUUUAGGUAGAAAAAGUAACGUCACGACCUCCUUUUAUUCACAUGUAUUAGGACCCUCUACUUUUCUUGUACUUAGGUGCACAGUUUUGAAAUGCCAGCCUUUUGGUUAACUCUUAUGUUAAAGAUAUAAUUUUGUUCACUUGUCCUUGCUAAUUAGAAUGUUCUUGAACUAGACAGUUAACAAGCCUCAUACAGAUUUCUUUAGGCACUAGAUUUAGUGACGCCUUCUGCCCCUCUUCUUUAUUAUUUCAAAUCACUCGUGUGAAUGAGAUUAAAAAUUGACUUAAUGAAAAAUUUGACUCCCAUGUUAAACAAAACUGUCUGAAAAAUUAAUAAGAGGAAGUGCAAUUUUUCAAAAUGGAAAUAAAAGGGAAAAGCAAUUCCUAAGCAUGGCUAAGUUCAAUAGCACUGGUACCUCCAUAGAUACACAUACAUAUAAGUACACUUAUCACAGAAUCAUAGAAUCAUAGAUUCAUUUGAGUUGGAAGAGACCCUUAAAGGUCACCUGGUCCAACUCACCUGCAAUGAACAGGGACACCUACAGCUACAUCAGGGUGCUCAGAGCCCCGUCCAGCCUGAGCUUGAGUGUCUCCAGGGAUGGGGCAUCCACCACCUCUCUGGGCAACCUGUGCCAGUGCUUCACUGCCCAUAUUGUAAAAAAGUUUUUUCUUAUAUCGAGUUAAAAUCUUCUGGAGGAGCACUGCAGCCAGCCUGGCACCACCUCAGAACCAGAGUCCACACACAGCAUGGAUGGCAGACAGCCUACAGUUGCUUGCAGAAGCACGGAAUUUGGGCUAACUUUGGCAGUUGCAAUUCCAGGGAAUAGGAGAAACGUUUGAAGAAGCCUCUCCAGAUGUGCCCCAAGUGAGAGUUCAGGAGGUGAUCCUGCCCUUCUACUUUGCACUGGGCUUUGAAAUAGAGAAAUUACACCAAGUUGCAGUCUCAGGCCUGGUGAGUGACGAGUACCAUAACCUCAACCCAAGGACCAGCACACUCACCGUGUCAAAGAAGGCACUCAAAAUACCUGAGAAAUAAAUUACAAUUACUAUCCUGUUUAACAAAGAUAUUUUUUCACUUCCCAAGUUGCUCUACCUUUUGUGGUUAUAACAGCAGAGCAAAGGUAAAACUUUGCAGGGUCUUCAUACUGAUGAAUCUACUUGCCAAGAUGCAGACUGACUGGAAAAGCUGCAAAAACUAGUUUUUUCCUUCUUUUUUUUCAGUGUCUUUUAUAAGUUUUCAUUUUUAUGGUUGAAGAAAAAAUAGUUUCAUGCCUCGUUAUCUCUCCCAUCUUCCUCUUAUUCAAACUUAUGAAACAUCCUCUCAAGCAAUCCCAGAAUUCAGUAGUGAUUUGAAAUCUUAUGAUAGCCACAAAUAAUUAAAAAUAUCCAUUCUGCCACUAUUCAGGAAUUUCAUCUAUUUUUUUUCCAAUAAGGACCGUGUAGGCAGAAACUGAAUAAUACAUAAAGUAAACAAAAGAGUCAAGGCUGAUUAGGGAAGCAGGCAUCAAGUUUCAUUUCCCAAGGACAUUACAUCUGUAAAAUUAGUAUCUCACAAAUAUUUUGAAAUGUCUUCAAACUGAGAAACUAAUAAAAUAAAUUGUCUUUUUUUCAUAUUUUUUUUCUUUUUUUGUAG